rnacentral:rRNA from 1 species
CGUCUAGGCGGCAGCCUAAGUCCUAUGUGAAAGCUCCCGGCUCAACUGGGAGAGGGCAUGGGAGACUGGGCGGCUAGAGACUCGGAGGGGGGUGUGGAAUUCCCGGUGGAGUGGUGGAAUGCGUUGAGAUCGGGAGGAACACCAGUAGCGAAGGCGGCACCCUGGCCGAGUUCUGACGCUGAAGCGCGAGAGCGUGGGAGCGAACG